AUUGAACGCUGGCGGCAGGCCUAAUACAUGCAAGUCGAGCGGAGCGGCGGACGGGCGAGUAAUGCCUAGGAAUCUGCCCGGUAGAGGGGGAUAACGUCCGGACAGGGGCGCUAAUAUCGCAUCCUUCCUGAUGUGCCUAGGUCGGAUUAGCUGGGUGGUGGGGUAAAGGCCUACCAAGGCGACGAUCCGUAACUGGUCUGAGAGGAUGAUCAGUCACACUGGAACUGAGACACCGUCCAGACUCCUACGGGAGGCAGCAGUGGGGAAUAUUGGACAAUGGGCGAAAGCCUGAUCCAGCAAUGCCGCGUGAGUGAAGAAGGUCUUCGGAUUGUAAAGCUCUUUAAUUUGGGAGGCGUUACCAACAGAAUAAGCAACGGCUAACUACGUGCCAGCAGCCGCGGUAAUAC
rnacentral:rRNA from 1 species